GGGUUAGUAAGUUGGUCGUGCCACUGGUAUGUACUGGCUUUACUGAUUCCUCCUUCUUGUAGAACCGUAAUGCCAUUAAGUUGGUGUUGCGGGGAAACAGGACUGUUACUUUGAAAAAAUUAGAGUGUUCAAAGCAGUCGUUUUACGACCGAAUAGCUUAGCAUGGAAUAAUGGAAUAGG
rnacentral:rRNA from 1 species